GGGAGAUGAGAGGCUGCUGCUGCUUUGAGCGAGAUGAUUAGUCCUAAGAGGGGCUGCCUCUCUGCACUGUCCCACACUGACAACUGCUCUCAGCUGCCUCCCUCCAGCAUGGAACGACAAAGAACCCAGCACUAACUCAACUGAGAGGGCGAUAAUCUGAACGCAGAGAAUUCACCUGCCCAGCCUGUUCAAGUACAGCCGGGAACCCAGUUAGAUGUGAACUGCUGAAGUGGGAUCUACGAUGGUUUGUUUUACUCAAAUUCUUCCCUUUGCUGGAAGCUGAGAACGAGAGCUGACAGAAAGUCACAUCACAGCUACUGAAAAGACUUCUAAACACAGAUUUGGGAACCGCUUCACACACACUAGUUUGAACAAUGCUGAAGCUCAUCAUCUGCCUUUUCCUGCUGAUCAGACUAGCAGGAGCCGAAAGGACUCCCACGGAAACCGAGGCUGACAAGCUCAGAGAGGCCAGGGAAGCCAACCGUCGCAGUGCCCGAUCCCCAGAGAGCGCACCCGCCACCAAAUGCACCUACACCUUCAUCGUUCCCCAGCAACGGCUGACUGGCCCCAUCUGCCUGAGCACCAAGAUGGCCGCUGGUGGAAAUGACAGCGUGAACAAGAGCGAGCUGCAGGCCAUGCGGGGUCAGAUGCGCGAGCAGCAGCAGCAGAUCGAAGACCUCAGGCAGAUGGUGGAACUGGAUGGACGCGUGAUCGACGAGGUCAAGUCCCUGCGGAAAGAAAGCCGCAACAUGAACUCCAGGGUGUCCCAGCUCUACGCCCAGUUGCUGCACGAGAUCGUCCAGAAGAAGGAUGACUCCCUGGAGAUCUCCAGGCUGGAGAACAAGGUGCUCAACAUCACAGCUGAAGUGCUGAGGCUAUCCAUCAGAUACAGGGACCUGGAGCGCAAGUACACAGCCCUCACCACCCUCAUCAACAACCAGAGCCGCACGAUUACUCAGCUGGAGAAGCACUGCAGUCAGCCGGCCCCCAUGCACCAUCAGCAGAUCCAACAGCAGGAGUCAGGACAGACAUCUCUUGGCACCAGAGCCAACAAUCUGAAUGGCAGCACCAACAAGAGCAAUAGUCUGGUUUCAGGCAAUGAAAUAUUGAGAGACCAGAUAUACAGCAUGACACAGGAUAGACUAAAGAGAACGGAACAGUCGCUUCCUACGGUAGUAUCAAUUGUGACAGCUACUAAGUCAUCAGGUCCCUGGAAAGACUGCCAGCAGGUUAUGGAGGAAGGCCACAGGUCCAAUGGAAUUUACCUGAUCAAACCUCAAAACACCAACCGACUGAUGCAGGUGUGGUGUGAACAGCAGAGGGAAGCUGGUGGUUGGACAGUCAUCCAGAGGCGCCAAGAUGGCUCCGUCAACUUUUUCCGGACGUGGGAGAACUACAAGCAAGGCUUUGGGAACAUAGACGGUGAGUACUGGCUAGGCUUGGAGAACAUCUACUGGCUGACAAAUCAGGACGACUACAAACUUCUCAUCCUCAUGGAAGACUGGCAAGGGAGAACAGUGUUUGCCGAGUAUGAUAACUUCUAUCUGGAAUCGGAGAGAGACUUCUACAGGCUGCGACUGGGCCAAUAUCGUGGGAAUGCAGGAGACUCCUUAUCCUGGCACAAUAACAAGCAAUUCACCACACUGGACAGAGAUCGGGACCAAUAUUCAGGUAACUGUGCCCACUAUCAGAAAGGAGGAUGGUGGUACCACACCUGCGCUCAUUCAAACCUGAAUGGAGUAUGGUACAAAGGAGGACACUAUCGUAGCAAGUACCAAGAUGGCGUUUACUGGGCCGAAUUCCGUGGAGGAGCCUACUCCCUGAAGAAAGUUCUUAUGAUGAUACGUCAAAGCUAGACAAUUAUGUAAUAUAAUUACUACUCGAUCACAAUCAUAUAUGGACUACAAUCAAUAACAAUGUUGUUAGGAUGUUUUAGGAGUUAACAGAAGAUGCAGACAACAGAACUACCUACUUAAAGCAUUAUCUUUUAGCAAUAACUAUGUAGAUCCAGAGUUAGAGAAAUUUACUCUCAUAGGCAGAAUAUUCCAGUAGUCUAUAGUGCUGUUGGCUCUUUGAGGUUCAUGUCUUUGACUUACAAACCUAUUUUUGUUGCAAAUAAUGGUGUGCACAAUGUGCCAAGAUCCACCCACUGAACUAAUGGUUUUCUAGGAUCACAUUCCUUCCAUGUCUGAAAAAGGGCUAUUAAAGUAGUAAAGCAGUUUAAAAAUAUUUUUUUUCCAUAGUCCUGUUUCAGUGAACUAAUUGUUAACAUUGGGAGAAGAGACAGCCAUCUUAAAAGUGACAGGAAAUAAAAUCCAAACAAGUCUGAUUUAGCACAAGAUUCCUCCAAAGCUUCCACAUCCUUCCUACAAUGAGGCAACCAGACCUGAACACAAUAUUGCAAGUGUGGUCUAACCAGGGUUUUCUGGAGCUACAGCUUUAACUUGUGGCUCUUGAACUCAAUCCCCUGACCGAUCUUGGUACCAUAAUCCUUAACACAAUAGACUUCAGUUCAGGUAUUAACGGACGUCCAGGCUUGGCACUAUUUCUGUUGGGGAAACAGUACCAGAUUCCUAUUGUCCUUUACGGAAUAUGCUUCCAGAAUGGCUACAAUCCUAAAAUUACACCCCUUCAUUCUGGAUAGCCCAGAGGAACAAAACGUUUACUUCCAGCUAGAAUCUUUUAAUCAUCUUAAACUUCCCAAAUAACAUCACCCCACAACAUUCUGUCCGCUAGCCUAUACUCUAACAAUCGUCAGCAUUAGCCUGGUAUCACUCUGAAUUACUGAAUUCUGUCCUGAACCACGAUGAAUCAGUAUCAGGUUUAGUAUCUCGGAUGUAUGCUUACUGUAAUCGCUGAGUGUGUGCCUUCAGGCUUCCGUACCUCCUUCUUGAUGGUAAUAAUGAGAAGAGGGCAUCCCUGGGUGAUGGGGGGGGGGGGGGUGCUGAUGGACCCCGUAUUUUAGAGGCAUUGCUCCUUGAAGAUGUCCUAGAUACUAUGGAGGUUAGUGCCUCUGUUGUUUUCAGACCAAGUUUACAAAUCUCCGCAGCUUACUUUGAUAUUGUGAAGUAGUGCCUCCCCCCACCUCCCCCCCCACCAUACCAUUUGGUGACACAGUGAGUUAGAAUACUUUCCACACUCUAAGUCUGCAGCUUUAUGACACUCGGAUUGUCUUAUACACUCUUCCACUCCAUAUACUGUAAAUAGCCUCAACAUACCCCUUUCUAGGAGAAUUUGCCAGCGUUCCCCUGCUACUCCAUACACACCUCAGGGAUCAGGGAGCACAUAUGCAACUUGGUCUCUCAGCUGUGCCUUGCCUUAAGAUUACAAGUGUAGCUUCCAUUCAAUUCUGUACAUACCAAUGGACAUUUAUACAGCCCAAUAUGUGAAACUGGAUACUAAUCAUCUGGACAUAAAAGAGCCUGGUUUGUGUUUGUUAAAUCUUUUAAAGAUGAGGACCAGCAUUUAUUCCUGAUUAAAGCUGGAUAUAUUAACAGGCAGCAGCCAUUCAAUCACUUCAAUCAUUAACCAGCUCAUCGUUGAUCUGUAAACUUAUCUCCAAAAAGCCCCAAGUAAAUUUAUAAUCAAAGUACAUAUGUCACCAUAAACAACUGUGAUUCAUUUACUUGCAGGCAUACUCAAUCAAUCUAUAAUAGAAAAAUAACCAUAAUCACGAGAGGUUGCACCAACUUGGAUGUUCAACCAGUGCGAAAAAGACAACAAACUAUGCAAAUAUAAAAAGAAAUAAAUAAUAAUAAAUAAACACAGAACAUGAGAUGAAGAGUCCUUGAAAAAUUUGGAUAUUUCCAGCACUUACUGGACAUUUAUAUAUGCCGUUGAGCUGAAGAGGAGAUGAAGAUCAGCGGUGAAUUGCUGCCAUGUGCUACAAUGGCUCGAAUGAUCCUAUCCACAAACAUGGGGGUCUGGAUCCACAAUGGAGAAGAAUAGCUGCUUUCCGUUCAGUAAAGGGCAAUAGUCAAUUAAAAUUUGUUUAUGACAGUCCUGCUUCAUGCCGAACAUUAGUAAUUCAAAGCUUUAUUCCAGAUUUAUAUUUAUGUCAUGAUACAGCCACGCGCAGGCUCUUCUGCUCCUGCAAGCCACUCCACCCCAACAAAACCAAUUAGCCCAAACCUAAUCACGGGGCAACUUCCACUAACCAAUAACCUGCCUGGUAUUUGUUUGGACUGUGAGAAGAAACUACUGCACUGCGGCUUUCCACAGAGCAGGGAUACAAAGACUUCCCACAAAACGUUGCUGGGAUUGAGCUCUGAAACGCACCGAACUGCAAUAGUGUUGCACUAACCGCUACGAUGUUUGCUAAAUUUUAUGCAGAUUUUAAAUUUCCACACAGCAUUUGAACUUCUGCCACUAAUUUUUUUUUUUAAAAAGACAAUCUUUACUCCCAAAUAGUCUUCCUUCAUUUACCCAAGCAGUAUUUUUUAUCUUGAAAGCUUCAGUCAGAUUAAAGGGUCAACGAUUCCAGGGUUCAUUUAAUAUCAGGGAAUGUAUACAGUAACCACCUUGAAAUUCUUACUCCUCACAGACAUCCACAUAACAAGAAACAUCAUAAAAUGAAUGAUAGAAACAACUAAGCCCUGAAGAGCUUCCCCCCACCCCCACUUCACUCUUCGCACAAGUAACACUCUACCCUCGAACUUUCUAAAAGCAGGUCACUGAAUAUCUCAACAAAUAAAAGAAAUGUGUUGGAAGCUACUCCAGAUCAAAGUGUAAAGAGACAACUAAUUUUCAGAGAGACAAUGGUCACAGUGGCACCGAUUAAAGUAACCUCGAUGACUGUGCUGGCCAAUAAAGGGAUGCAAGUGAACACAACACUGCAGUGCAAAUUUAGAUUCCGCAUCCCUGGCCCUUUCCAGAGAUUGUGGCUAUAUUCCUGCACUGGGCGACAGUCAGCUUCAACUACUGAAACUCCAAUCUGCUGAUCAGCUGAUUAAUGCUAAAGUAACUGUGUACAUUCUUUCAGUCCCACUCCCGCCGAUCCCUGCUAAAUCUGUUGAUGCAUUUGCUGCUAUUAUAAACAGAAGAUACCAGGAAUACUCAGGCAGGCAGCAUUUACGCACACAUAUAUAGACAAAAGAUUAACCUGAUCUUAACGGCUCCAUUAGGUCACCUGGUCUAACCUGGUCAUAGAUAUGCUGCUUGUUCACGUUCCUCUGUUACCCAAAUCUAUUGUGCAUUUCCCAGCCCCUCCUUUUCUACUGCAACUCCAAACUGCUGGUCAGCUGCUAAUGCUAAAGAAACCAUUAUACUCUUCCACUCCCACUCCUGCUGAUCCCUGCUAUAUCUGCUGAAUAGAUUAAAAUCAUGCAAAAAGCAGAAAUAAUACACAUUAAAAAGUGAGGUAAUGUUCAUGGGUUCAAUGUACAUUUAGGAAUUGGAUGGCAGAGGGGAAGAAGCUGAUCCUGAAUCGCUGAGUGUGUGCCUUCAGGUUUCUGUACCUCCUACCUGAUGGUAACAGUGAGAAAAGGGCAUGCCCUGGUUGCUGGAGGCCCUUAAUAAUGGACACUGCCUCUCUGAGACACCACUCCCUGAAGAUGUCCUGGGUACCUUGUAGGCUUGUACCCAAGAUAGAGCUGACUGGAUUUACAACCCUCUGCAGCUUCUUUCGGUCCUGUGCAGUAGCCCCCCCCCCCCACCCCCACAUACCAGACAGUGAUGUAGCCUGUCAGAAUGCUCUCCAUGAUACAUCUAUAGAAGUUUUUGAGUAUUUGUUGACAUACCAAAUCUCUUCAAACUCCUAAUGAAGUAUAGUCGCUGUCUUACCUUCUUUAUAAGUGCAUUGUUAUGUUGAGACCAGGUUAGAUCUCAGAAUCCUUGACACCCAGAAACUUGAAACUGCUCACUUUCUCCACUUCUGAUCCCUCUAUGAGGAUUGGUAUGUGUUCCUUCAUCUUAUCCUUCCUGAAGUCCAGAAUCAGCUCUUUGGUCUUACUGACAUUGAGUGCCAGGUUGUUGCUGCAGCACCACUCCACUAGUUGGCAUAUCUCGCCCCUGUACAUCCCCUUGUCGCCACUUGAGAUUCUACCAACAGUGGUUGUAAUGUCAGCAAAUUUAUGGAUGGUAUUUGAGCUCUGCCUAGCCACACAGACAUGGGUGUAGAGUAGAGCAGAGCAGUGGGCUAAGCACACAUCCUAGAGGUGCACCGUGUUGAUCAUCAGCGAGGAGGAGAUAUUAUCACCAAUCUGCACAGGUUGUGGUCUUCUGGUUGGGAAGUCGAGGAUCUAAUUGCAGAGGCCCAGGUUCGGUAAUUUUUUCAAUCAGGAUUAUGGAUCAAUUACCUAUGCUCAGACCAUAUCCCAGUAAGCCCCUUCCACCUACUUUUAAAAUUAUACUAUUGUAAAAGGCCAACCAGUUCCGGUAGCUAGUUCCAUAUACUCACCACCCUGUGUGCAAAACGUUGCCCCUCAGGACCUCUUAAAUCUUCCCCCAUUUUGUCUAAGCUCCCAUUUUCCUAUGUUGCAAUGAAUAAACCGAUGUUCCAUUCCCUCUUCUCAUUGUUACUGUCAGGAUGGUGGUACAGACGCCUGAAGGCACACACUCAGUGAUUCAGGAACAGUUUCUUCCCCUCUGACAUCCAAUUCCUAAACGGACAUUGAAUCCUUGAACACUUCCUAUUAUUUAUUUCAAUAGUGCAAAAAUAGUGCAAAAUAGUUUUAACUUUUUAAUAUACCUAUAUACUUAGUGUAACUUACUUUUCUUUCUACAUCAUGUAUUGCGUUGUACUGCUGCUGUUAAGUUAACAGAUUUCACAACAUAUGCCAGUGAUAUUAAACCAGAUUCUGGCCAACCCUAGCCUACAACUCAGGCCCUUUAGUCUCGGCAACACCUCUGCACAUUUUUCUACACCUCCUUCCAGACUACCAUCUCUAAGAUGAGUCAGAGUCACAGAAUAACACAGUAUACUCACAUUCAAUGCUCCGGUCCACAUUAAAACCACUAUUCUGUUUCACUCCAUCAGUCCCUUAUGCUCCAAAUCCUGCUUUUUACUCACCCCCAACAUUAGGUCAUUCAACAAUUAGCUGCGGUGCACAACCCUUGGCUUCAGAAUCCGCUCCCUAAACUUCAUCUCCCUUCAAAAAAUAAGUUGAAGAUCUAUCUCUUUAGCCAAGCUCUUGAGUACUUUCAGCCUGAGAUUAAUUUGAUAACAACCUUUGUGUCAGUUUACUUCACUGUCCUACUUUAACUCUAGAAGAGAACUGGAAGUUGUACAUCUUGUUCACAAAAAUUGACAUUGGAAAAUAUUGAUAUAAAGGUUUUUGGUUAUGUCCCAACCCAUGCCAAAGGCUCAACAUCAAAGACCAUUGAGGUCAGAUGUACAGGAGUUGUAUGUACAAGGUAGUUCAUAGACAAAGACAAUUGCCACAGUCCUUCAUCUGGUUAGAAAAGCUGGCUGUUGUAGGAGGCAAACUGGACACACUGGAGGCUGUGAUAGAACAAAGGGCCCUACAGAAAAUCCUGGGAAUUCCAGACAAUGUUUCUCACCCUCUGCAUGCCACCUUGGCUGAACAGAGGAGCACUUUUAGUAAUUGACUAAGACAACUGUGCUGGUCCAAAGAGCACAAUAUGAAGUUAUUCUUACCCUUAGCCAUUAGGCUCUAUAAUGUAUCAAUCUAUAGCAGCGGAAGUGAUGACCCCUUCCUGUCAGACUGUUUGAGGUAACUUACUUUAUAUUCUUUCUUACUUCUUUUCUAAUACUUGUAUACCGUUGCACUUGUAAUGCUACUGGGACACUGUAAAUCCCUCUGGGAUCAAUAAAGUAUCUAUAUCUGUUGCA